UUAAUGUCAGGUAUUUUAUUUCAGAGAUAGUGAAAUGUCAUUGAGUGAAAGUUUCCAAGAUUUAAACUAAAUCUCACACAAAAAAAAGCAAUCAUUAAAAGCCUAAUUUUAUCAAUUGAGCCAUUCACUCAUUACCCCUGGAUGACUAAUGUGGUCAUCCUCGAACCACGAUGGACAAACUAUUGAUCUGGUCUAUCCACUUGUUUUAUUAAGGGUUCAACUACAUUAUAAUAAUCACUUCUCCAACGUUUGCUCCAAUGACACUUUUAGACACUCCCCAUUAUUAAUUUCAGACAUAACUCUAAAUCAAUAAUUACUUUCAAACAAAACUACUAUAAAAUCACAAAAAUAUUUAUUUAAAAAAAAGAAAUCAUAAUUGCAUUCACAUAUUCAUACCAAUAUUAAGAGUUCAUUUGCAAUUUUUUUUUUAAACAAUGAAAAUGACUUAGCUGUAUCCUAAAAAAAUGCAGAAACUAAUUAGUUGUUUUUCUAAACAAACAGUUUAGUGAAUACAUAUUGUAAAGCAACUACUUAUAUUAGUACUUCUGUAAUGAAUGAAACUCACUAAUUGAAAAUUCAGAAGAAAGACAUCAAUUUACUUUAUAAAGAAUAUAACACACAAGGUUAACAAUAUACAAACUUAUCUGCCCUUAAAUUUUUGUUAGUGUGUAAGCUAUUACAGGGGGUCCUAAGGUUACAUUAAUCCAAUGCUACAUCGCAUAUUAAACAGAUUAUUAGUGUAAGAACAUAUGUUGAUAUAGUAUGUAAAUACUGUAAGCACUUAUCCUAUCCUUACACAGUACCCUGCAUAAUUAUCAAAAAAAAAAAAAAGACAUACAGGA